GACAGGUGAAACUCUCUUUUAUAGACAGGAGAAACUCUCCUUUAUCGACAGGUGAAACUCUCCCUUAUAGACAGGUGAAACUCUCCUUUAUAGACAGGUGAAACUCUCCUUUAUUAACAGGUGAAACUCCUUUAUCGACAGGUGAAACUCUCCCUUAUAGACGGGUGAAACUCCUUUAUCGACAGGUGAAACUCUCCUUUAUUGACAGGUGAAACUCUCCUUUAUCGACAGGUGAAACUCUCCUUUAUCGACAGGUGAAACUCCUUUAUUGA